CUUUUAUGGAGAGUUUGAUCCUGGCUCAGGACGAACGCUGGCGGCGUGCCUAAUACAUGCAAGUCGAGCGCGGGAAGCAGACAGAAUCCUUCGGGAGGACGUCUGUGGAACGAGCGGCGGACGGGUGAGUAACACGUGGGCAACCUGCCUGUAAGACUGGGAUAACUCCGGGAAACCGGGGCUAAUACCGGAUAAUUCAUCGAAUCGCAUGAUUCGAUGUUGAAAGGUGGCAUAUGCUACUACUUACAGAUGGGCCCGCGGCGCAUUAGUUAGUUGGUGGGGUAAAAGCCUACCAAGGC
rnacentral:rRNA from 1 species